rnacentral:rRNA from 1 species
AUUGAACGCUGGCGGCAGGCCUAACACAUGCAAGUCGAACGAGCGGCGGACGGGUGAGUAAUGUCUGGGAAACUGCCUGAUGGAGGGGGAUAACUACUGGAAACGGUAGCUAAUACCGCAUACCAUCGGAUGUUCCCACAUGGGAUUAGCUAGUAGGUGGGGUAAAGGCUCACCUAGGCGACGAUCCCUAGCUGGUCUGAGAGGAUGACCAGCCACACGGGAACGGAGACACGGUCCAGACUCCAACGGGAGGCAGCAGUGGGGAGGAUUGCACAAUGGGCGCAAUCCUGAUGCAGCCAUGCCGCGUGUAUGAAGAAGGCCUUCGGGUUGUAAAGUACUUUCAGCGGGGAGGCGUUACCCGCAGAAGAAGCACCGGCUAACUCCGUGCCAGCAGCCGCGGUAAUAC